rnacentral:lncRNA from 1 species
UACAACAUCAUCCAGACAGCAAACCAACACGUGUUUCAACCCGUCUGGUACAAGUUGUAGUCUUCCUGACAUAAGGAGCACUAACUAAUCUCAUCAGAAUCUAACCCGGUGGGUGUGUCUUGAUUAACCAUAACGAUUGUCUCAUACAUAUUGCUAGCACCAGAGGCAACUGGGAGCCGGUAAUGUUUGGCAAAAGUCUUGGCCGAUGCCCUGCCUGCUGUCCU